rnacentral:rRNA from 1 species
ACGCUGGCGGCAGGCCUAACACAUGCAAGUCGAGCGGAAACGACACUAACAAUCCUUCGGGUGCGUUAAUGGGCGUCGAGCGGCGGACGGGUGAGUAAUGCCUAGGAAAUUGCCUUGAUGUGGGGGAUAACCAUUGGAAACGAUGGCUAAUACCGCAUGAUGCCUACGGGCCAAAGAGGGGGACCUUCGGGCCUCUCGCGUCAAGAUAUGCCUAGGUGGGAUUAGCUAGUUGGUGAGGUAAUGGCUCACCAAGGCGACGAUCCCUAGCUGGUCUGAGAGGAUGAUCAGCCACACUGGAACUGAGACACGGUCCAGACUCCUACGGGAGGCAGCAGUGGGGAAUAUUGCACAAUGGGCGAAAGCCUGAUGCAGCCAUGCCGCGUGUAUGAAGAAGGCCUUCGGGUUGUAAAGUACUUUCAGUUGUGAGGAAGGGUGUGUAGUUAAUAGCUGCRCAUCUUGACGUUAGCAACAGAAGAAGCACCGGCUAACUCCGUGCCAGCAGCCGCGGUAAUACGGAGGGUGCGAGCGUUAAUCGGAAUUACUGGGCGUAAAGCGCAUGCAGGUGGUUCAUUAAGUCAGAUGUGAAAGCCCGGGGCUCAACCUCGGAACUGCAUUUGAAACUGGUGAACUAGAGUGCUGUAGAGGGGGGUAGAAUUUCAGGUGUAGCGGUGAAAUGCGUAGAGAUCUGAAGGAAUACCAGUGGCGAAGGCGGCCCCCUGGACA